rnacentral:tRNA from 1 species
AAGAUGGGGUCAGCUAAAUAAGCUUUCGGGCCCAUACCCCGAAAAUGACGGUUAAAAUCCCUCCUCCAUCA